rnacentral:rRNA from 1 species
AACGUAGGAUGCAAGUGUUAUCCGGAAUCACUGGGCGUAAAGCGUCUGUAGGUGGUCAAAUAAGUCAACUGUUAAAUCUUGAGGCUUAACCUCAAGAUCGCAGUCGAAACUAUUAGACUAGAGUAUAGUAGGGGUAAAGGGAAUUUCCAGUGGAGCGGUGAAAUGCGUAGAGAUUGGAAAGAACACCGAUGGCGAAGGCACUUUACUGGGCUAUUACUAACACUCAAAGACGAAAGCUAGGGUAGCAAAUGGG